AAAUACGGUAGUUUCCCGGCCAAAACGGGAGACUUGACAGGUAUGAAGCAGGGUCGGGCCUGGUUAGUACUUGGAUGGGAGACCGCCUGGGAAUACCAGGUGCUGUAAGCU
rnacentral:rRNA from 1 species